GUGGGGAAUAUUGGACAAUGGGCGAAAGCCUGAUCCAGCCAUGCCGCGUGUGUGAAGAAGGUCUUCGGAUUGUAAAGCACUUUAAGUUGGGAGGAAGGGCAGUAAGUUAAUACCUUGCUGUUUUGACGUUACCGACAGAAUAAGCACCGGCUAACUUCGUGCCAGCAGCCGCGGUAAUACGAAGGGUGCAAGCGUUAAUCGGAAUUACUGGGCGUAAAGCGCGCGUAGGUGGUUUUGUAAGUUGGAGGUGAAAUCCCCGGGCUCAACCUGGGAACGGCUUUCAAAACUGCUGAGCUAGAGUACGGUAGAGGGUGGUGGAAUUUCCUGUGUAGCGGUGAAAUGCGUAGAUAUAGGAAGGAACACCAGUGGCGAAGGCGACCACCUGGACUGAUACUGACACUGAGGUGCGAAAGCGUGGGGAGCAAACAGGAUUAGAUACCCGUGUAGUCC
rnacentral:rRNA from 1 species